rnacentral:lncRNA from 1 species
GGGAGUCACGAUUGAAGAAAGGGAAGGCAAAGGUUCGAUUAACUCAAACCUAAGGCACCCUUUCAACCUAGUCUAAGCUAGUUGCGAGGUUUAGUCAAAAUUUUCCUAAUCUAACCCUUAAUUUUAUCAUAUUUGGAUGUUUCUUACAUGAAUGCAAAUCUAAAUUUAUAAAAUAUCGAAAGGGUCAAAAUAUCUAUUCAAGGAUUUAAUCGAACCAAUCGCAUUAAUUGCGAAGGCCAAAACGAUUCCUUGAAAGUGUCACGAGUAUGCGAAUAAUGAAAUUAAAAUAAAAAAAAUUAAAUUAUAUACAUAUAUAAGUGAUCAAAGAAAAAGGGAAUGCAACAUAAAGGGUACGGGAGGCAAAACUCGUGACAUAAUUUUCUUAUACAUGGAUUAAUAGGGUAUUUAAACUAAAAAGUUAUAAUCACCCAUUUCCCAUGUUUGAAAAACAAUUAUCCUAACAUGAAUAAGCAAAUGAACCUACUUAUCAUACAAUUUCUUAAAUGAAAUGCAAUUCUAAGUGAUAUAAUUAACACAUAUAGAGGAUAGGGGAUAAUAUAAUAGGAAAUAUCAUGCAAAUGAGAAAAGAUCCUAAAAAAGAAAAUAUGCAUGAAAAUGUAGUGAAUAGCAUACAAAGAUGAGUCUAGCGCAAGACGACCUAAAGGGUCUAGCGUUGGACUAGCCCAUUUCUAAAAAUCCUUACUAGCGUUCGACUAGCAAGUAAGCGGAGGGAGAAACUGUAGCGCCCCCACUUCUCCCUAAGGCGAACCAAAGGGUAUCCGCGGGACGCCUGCCCAGCUCUCGCCAGGACUCACUACAAUCCAUCAUUCAAAAGCCCGAAAUACUUUAAGUAACUUCAAUACAUAAUUAAAGUACUUCAAAUAUCUCACACUUACAAUUAUACAGCUUUCAAGCUUAAAUACAACCCAACGGAAAAGGGUACAAUAGCCAUCUGUUAUAAUAUAACGUAAAAUCUUCAAAAGAAAGCAAUCUAGUACUACUCACGAGUACCCUUGGUCUCGAACCCUGUAAAAGAAAACCACAACGUGGGAUGAGCUACACAGCCCAGUGAGGUUCCAAGACACUCUAAUGGACAGCUUCAUAUAACAUGUGAUUCAUGAUAAUCAAGUAAUCAAGUAGAUACUUAGCACGUAAGCACGUAAGCAAUACAAGUUGAUUUCAUGGGAGCAUGUAAUUCACGGAUAUCGAAUAGUCAUGUAGAUUGGAAAUCAUGUGAGCAAAUAGUCAAGUAAUCAAGUAGGUAAAGUACACAUUUGAGUAGGUUGAGUAGGUCGAGUGAGUAGGUCGAGUGAGAACAAGUGCGAUAAAGUACGCACUCGACUCCAUUUUUCAAAAUCGAGUAGGCUAAGUAAACAAUCUAGCAAGUUAAGCAUGUAUCGAGUUCAUAUGGUCAUUUGAUAUGGUUAAUCAUUUAACCAAUUCAUGUAGAUAUACAAUGCAAGUAUACAUUCGUUAAAUAGGCAUGAGUAUGGUAAAUACUUAACACAUAGCACUUAGCACUUAAUAAUCAUGAAAUAAGCGUGUCCUAGACUUAUUCAAUUACGUAUUCCUAUAUGGAACACUCACCUAGUCAAAACAAACGAGUAGUUUUCAAACAAGCGUUUAGGUGUCCGCUCCGAGUUCCUCUUGGAGAUUCCCUCGAGUGCCUGAGUAAACAAUAAUCAAGUACCACUCAAUAUCACUACGAAUAUCUAAUUAUCGAGGAAGAUUGUACGCUACUGCAAUCUAAGGAAAUCUUAUGAAAAUGAACCUCAAUUACUCGUAAAUCGAGGUUCAAGAGUAAAGUUUUAAAGUCUAAAGAGAGAGACUAACAUUUUCCAUGAAAUUGAGUUCAAAAUGUUCAAUCGGUAUCGAGAAAAGAAGGCAAGUUUCCAAAAUCUCAUUUUCUAAGAAAUUGACAAAUUUCAGCUUUGGGUGCCAAUUUAGAAAAAUCGUAUCUUGCACUAUGUAGGUCCAUAAUUAGAAAGUUUGAUACCGUUGGAAACUUCUUCAAAAGCACUAAAAGUUCCUAGAAGAUACUUUUCCAUGAUUCCAAAUGGAAAAUAUUCAAAAAUUGACUCAAAGUUGCUGCUUGGGACCAUUAUGACAGUUUCGGGGUUGGUUUUUGACCAACUUUGAAAAUCCAGCAAAAUUCACACAAUACGAACUAGCCUCCGAAAUUUAGAACUCAAUUAGAGCUACAAUCAAAGUUUAAAACAAAACAAACGGAACAAGAAUCAAAGUUUUGAGCGCCAAGAUAUAGCAGCUCAAAGUUGGCUAAAAUUUCCUCCUCGAUCAAGAAUUUCCAGAUUUAAACAUGAACUUUGGGACGUUGGUUGAAUACUGAAACGGACUUCGAAUGGCACCAAAUUUAGCAGUAUUACACUACCAUAUAGGGGUUAUUCCUCUGCAAAUUUUCAAGCAAAAUCUAGCACGAAGAGUCAAUUAACAAAACUGUUGAAGUUUUCAAGAAUUUCCAAGGCAAUCUGCCUCGUACCUUUGUUUUCCUUUUCUCAAACAUUUGGCCACUAAAAACCUCUCAAAUAUGGUUCAUUUGCGUAGAUAAUUCCUAAGAAACAUCAAAGCUGUAUUUGGUAGGUGAUUUAUACCAAGAAUUUCGAAUGACAAGUCCCAAGUCAAGAUUGGAUAAUCGGCUAAGAGAAAAGGAAAAGUUUUCCAGAUUCGAAGAGCAAUUUCGGGGCAUCAUUUGCAUAACAAAAUGGUCUUAGAAUAUCACCAAAUUUUGCACAAUUAAACCUCCAUAUGAGGACCACUCCUCUAUCAAAUUUCAUUUGAAAAUUAACAUGAGAAGGUAGUUAACUAAACCAUCAAAGUUCAAGAAAUUUCCCAAGGCAAAACUGUCUUCUAGCUCUUCUUUCUUUUUAAACAUUUUGUCCAAUGCAACCAACCCAAAUCUGGUUUAUUUGUAAAAAAAAGUCCAAGGAACAUCUAAUAUAAAGUUUGGAAGAUGUUGGACAUCAAAGUUUCCAAAACAACAAGUCCCAAAUCAAGCUAGGCCAUUCAACUAGUCAAAAGAGGAUUUUUACUCACUGCAUCAGUUUCGAAAUAUGGCCACAACUCACUCAAUUCAACUUGGAAUUGAGCAUGGUUGAUGGAGUUGGAAAGCUCUCUCAUAAAGCUGAAUUUUAUCAGAAGAAAUCAUUUUGAAAUUCUAUCCACAAACAGCUCGUUUUUGAGCAUCAAGAUACAAGUCCUGUCCUGUCUCCUCGAGAGAAAUGAAACAGGACAGUGAUUUUCAAUCGAAUGGUGUGGCUCACUCAAGUAGAACCAGAAUGUGAAUUUGGUACCGAUGGAAAUCUGGGAAUGUCUAGUUUCCAGUGCCGCAAACAGCACUUGAUUUCGACAUCGGAGUAAAGAGUUAUGGCCGAUACAAAAUGACUGCCUGGGCAAUACGGGAUUCAUUUUCCAGUUUUGCUAACUUUGGAAAUCAACUCAUUUGACCAACCAAAUCAUGUUAUUUUCAAUGAAAUUUUGUACACACUCACAAUAACAUGUAAAAAAUAUAAUCAAGUCAUUAGAACCUCAAAAUUGUGCACAAAAUGGUCGGACAAGGCAGGGGCAAAAUCGGAAACUUUUGCUUCUUACACCCAAUGAAGUUUCUAUCAAUUACACACCAUUAAUCCAUCAUUUUAACCACUAAACCAACAAUAUAUCCACCAUCAAUCAACAAAUCAGCAACAACCCAAGAGUGGGAGUUCAUAGAGCCCACUUUCACAUUUUAUACCAUAAACAAAACUACCCACAUGAUUAUAUAACCUUAUGUGUGCAAUAUAUCUUACAAAAACUAAGAUCUAUGGGUUGGAUGAUUUGCUACCUUCUUGGAUGACUAGAUCAGAAAUUUUGGUCACUCUUUGCUCCAGAAAACUGUGGCUUUUCAGCUCCCUUUUGCAGCUCAAAAUACUCCUCAAGUGUUAUACUAAGUGUGGGUGAAAUUUGAAGUUAAUUGGAAGAGGUUUGAUAAAGAUUUGAUGAAGGAAAAAUGAAGAACUUGGUCUUGUUUUUCCUUGGAGUUGCACGGCUGGAAUGAAGAAGGAAAAGAAGAGUUGCACGGCUGUUUGAGGUGAUAAAGUGGAGGGUUUUGAUCUGGUGUGAUGCACCCAUGUGAAACUAAAAUGUGUGGCUCUCAUUGAUUCAAAGGUCAACUCUUUUUCCCGCGCGUUUCGUGUUCGAUUCCUCUCGAAUUUGUUUCACUAGUGCACUAAACCUCUAAUGCACUUAUAUUCAUAUAAAUAUUAUUCACUCUUAAAUUGUCCCAAAAUAAGGGUCUAAAGUUCUUAAAUUAAAUCGCGCGCGUAAAAACGUGUACUUCCAAUUUAUGCGCGAUAAGACGAAAUUUCAAAAAAAUUCUUAUAACGAUAGUACUAAUAACUAUCACUUGAGUAUUUAAACAUUAAAAUGCCUAAUUUAGAUCCAUUGUACAUGUCUCCAAUAUUUCAAACCUAUUGUACUCUCAAUCGAUCAAAAUUUCCAAAGACGGGUUCACUAUUUCACUAAACGAGCUUCCGAAAAUUAAUUUUUGAAACAAGUCAUUUUAAAAAUAUAAUGAAACUAUAUUUCCAUGUAAUUAGGUCUCAAGAGCUUAGAAAAUAAUAUUCGGAGUAAAAGACCAAAUAAAUAAUUAAAUAAGCUAGAAAUAGGAGAUUAAAUAAGUAAAUUUUGCGAGUCCUCACAGAAACCACGACUAGCGUUGGACUAGUGUGGUGACGUCGUGCAUUAACAAUUCAUAGUGAAACAAAUAAAGCAUAAAUUAAAACAAAUAAAUACAUAAGAACACGUAAUACAUAAGCAUAAUAUCUAGAUGCAAAAAAUCCUAAGAAAAGCGGGUAAGGCACAUAACACAUAAGCCACGUAAACACGCAACCUAUCUAUUACAUCGGGGAAUCUAACUACAAUCUAAAAUGGGAAAGAUAUGAUAAAAUAAAACUAGUUAUCCUAUCUAUUACAUUCUUGAGGUAUUUAAAUGCCUCUCGAAUAAUUAUAAAAAUUAACUAAACAAAUAUAAUAUAAGAAAAUUUAAAUAAACAUUUAAAUGCAAUAAAUAAAGCAUAUAAAAAUAUAUAAACACAUAGGAAUACAUAGGAGCACAUAAGAGCACGUAAUUGACAUUGAAAUAAUAAAAAUAGAAGUACCUCCCGUUUGAAGUGGUGACUAAAUGGAGUCAAAUUGUCCUAUUUAUACUCACAAUGAACAAAAGAAUCAUGGCACCAAUUUAAUUAAAAAUAAUAAUAAUAAAAGUACUAAAUUCAUACUAAUAUGUCAAACAUAAAGAAAUUUAAAACAUCUAAAAAUUACAAGUUGAAUAUGUUCAAAAGUAACAUAAUUAGCUAUUAAAGAAAAGAAGCAAUCAUAAUAAAGAGUGUCAAAAUUCACAAGGGACUGAAUUGCAAAAAUUAAAAAACUUUUGGGGAUAAAAAUUAUAUUUUUCCAAAGUUUAGAGUCAAAAUUAAAUAAAAGAUAAAAUUUAGGGACCACAGUGCAAUUAAUUGAAGGAACGAGUUGAAAGGAAUUUAAAAUAUUCUGGGCCGUAGUAAAAAUACUUGAAAGUACAGGGACUGAUAUGCAAAAACGUUUUCUUAUUCCUUAACAAAUCAGGCCACUGGGCCAUCAUUUUUAUUUCUUUGGGCCAAAUAUUCCUAAGCCCACCGAAAAUCUAAGAGAAACGAGCAGGCCAGCCCUUCUUUUUAUCACUCAAGCCCAAUUAAAAAAAUGCAUGGGCUCUGACCUUCUAGCCCAACCGAAACCCAAAAGAAAAAGAACAAAAUUCCAUUCCCCAAACCCAACCAAAAUAACCACAAGCCCACCUAAAAAAAUAAAACACUAGCCCAAGCCCCCCCUUUUCUUUCUUUUCUUUUCUUUCUUCUUCCCCACCUUCUUCUUUCUCUCGUUUCUUCUUUCUUCUUCGGUCAGCGAAGCUUCAGCUGGCGGCCAUGGUGGUCGCCGGUGGCGCCGGACCGCCGUCGCCGGUGACCUCUCCGAUCACCGAAUUUCACAAAAAUACACCCCCUCACUCCAUUUUUCGCGUAGAAUUCACUUCCGGAGUUAGUUUUUACAAAAGAUGACCCAAAAGUGGUCAAAAUGCCAAGAAAUCAGUUCAGUUUUUAUUUUUUUAAAACCCUCAAAUCUUCACCAAAAAUCAUAAAAAUUAUGCCAAAACCCUCCUGAUAACUUCUACAAUACAACUAUAAUCUUAGUUUGACAAGUAAACAACAACAAAAGGAUGCAUUAAAUCAAAAUAGUCCCUAAAAUUCUUUUUGGCAUUUUUUCAAACAAUUAACAUGCAUUCACAAGAAAUCAUCUUUUUUCCUUAAUUUCACACAUGGCUUACCCCAAAACUUCAACAACACCACAUAACAACAUCACUAAAAGAAAGAGACAAAUAGAUAGCAAAACAUGAAUUUAAUCUAAUUAGUUAAUAAAAUGAAAAACUGGAAAAAAAAUAAUAAUGAUACCUCAAUGAGGAGUUUGGUCCCUUGGCCAAAGUUUGUGAUGAAAUUUGCCAAGCUCGAAAUAGCCUAACCGAUCGCUGCUUCCUUUUGUUGUUUUAAUUUGUGUGUGAGUGUGUUGGGAGAAACAAAAAAAGAAAAAGGAACCGAGAGGGAGAGAGUCGAGAGUCAGAGUGAAGUUGGAGUCUUUUUUUCUUCUUCUGUCUGACCUGAUGGUCCGUCCAGAGAGCAGAGAAUCGAGAGGGACCUGUAGCCAAAGUGGAGGUUGUGUCUUAAAUCUUCCAAAAAUGAUGAUUUCUCAACUAAUGAAAAGACAAGUCCAUCGCCAUUGAGUGUGAAAUGGGUUAAAUGUAUUUUGGUGAAAAAAAAAUGAUUAGAAUGAUUUUUUUUAUUUUCUUAAUUUUCCUCUUUUUUUGUUGUUUUUUUUUUAGUUUUUGUGUUUUGUUUUUUUUUUCUUUCUCUUUUUUUUUUUUAAACAAACCUGCAAAAAAUGAGGAAAAUGCACAUUAAAAUGCAAGAAAAUAAAUAAUUCAUUAAAUAAAAAAAAUUCAAGAAAAUUUUGAAAUUUGACAAAAAUUUGGUGUCUACAGUUUGCCCCUCUUUGUCUUGAGUUUCUUUGAAACUCAAGACAAAGACAUAGACACCAAAUUGCUUACCUGUUUCUUUUAACUGCACCUGAGCUAAAAUAAACAAGCCAACACCUGGUUGAAAUUAUUGGACAAAAUGAUGCAAUAACAUUGCAGAAAAAGUGACCGAACCCAUAUAGAGUUGCCUACGUAUCCCACCAUGGGAAUCAGGUCAAACGUAGUUCGAUUGCAAGUGAACCACAAUGAAACAAGUGCAUUGACCAACUGUGAUCUUUGCAAAGUUGAAAAAGUCUGAGCUCUUAGAACUUCACAAAAUGAAUGAGAAAGCACAAUUAUUAAUCAAAACAGUCAAGAAAAGUAACUUGUCAUAACUAGAAAAAGAUGCGCUGAGGGACGGGAUUACGCUCCAACAGGAAAUUAAAUUGUCAAGAAGGGGAGAUAGAAGGGUACGCGGUGGACGCUGAGUCUCACCAACAGAAAUUUAAAUUGUCAAGAAGGGGAGGUAGAAGGGUGCGCGGUGGACGCUGAGACUCACCAACAGGAAAUUAAAUUGAUGCGCGGGGGGACGCGAUUACGCUCCAACAGGAAUUUAAAUUGUCAAGAAGGGGAGAUAGAAGGGUGCGCGGUGAACGCUGAGACUCACCAACAGGAAAUUAAAUUUGUCAAGAAUGGGAGGUAGAAGGGUGCGCGGUGGAUGCUGAGACUCACCAACAGGAAAUUAAAUUGAUGCGCGGAGGGACGCGAUUACGCUCCAACAGGAAAUUAAAUUGUCAAGAAGGGGAGAUAGAAGGGUGCGCGGUGGACGCUGAGACUCACCAACAGUAAUUUAAAUUGUCAAGAAGGGGGAUAGAAGGGUGCGCGGUGGACGCUGAGACUCACCAACAGGAAAUUAAAUUGGAUCUUCUUGAUUGAUUGAUUUUUUUUUCUUUUUAACAGAUUGGUGGGAUUGACCCGAGCCCAAUUAAACACUGAAAGAAAUGAAAAUGCAAGUUCAAUACUAUCAAACUGAAAGAUUAAAAUGCAUGUUGCUCAAGUUGGUGGAUUUGCAAUCUCUCUCUUUUUUCCAAACUUUAGAAGAAAUGAAAGAAACACACUUUUUUUGUUUUUGUUUUUGUUUUUAUUUUUGUUUUUUUUGUUUUUUUGAAAAGGUCCAAAGUGACAAAUUUUAAAACUAGAAGGAUACCAAUGACAAUUCUCCUUUCAAGAGAUUCGAGAGGUACAUAUAUAUGUCACUAUUCUCUCGAUUUUAAAAGACUCUUUUUCUUUUUUCACUUUUUUCUUUCACAAAACCGAUUUAGAAUGCAUUACCAAAAUUGGAGCUCACUCCUUUUGAUAUUUGCCCCAGUGUAAAUCAUGUUUAACGAAGGCCACAUUUUUCAUGCUUUCAAAAAAGCAAAAAGAGUGAUCAUAUGAUACCAAUACCAUGUGAUUCCUUGUGCUCCUUUUGGCCCUGAGAACCGUGCAAGCAUGAUCUUUUGAUGUCAAAAUUACUCCUCAAGAGUUGUGCUGCAACUUGUUUUGAAUCUUCUCAAUUUUCCAGCAUCAGUCAGCCAUACCUCACUUUGUACCACAAAUCAACUUUUCUAAUGACCAGAUUUGAAUGAAUGGCCAGUAUCUCAAGUGUCAGCAACCCGCUUUUCGUCCAUGAUUCUCUUGUGCUCCAAAAUCUUACCUUGAUGACCUUAACCUUUCGGAUUUUCACAAAGGUCACACCUUUUUAUUUUAUUUUGUUUUCAUUUUCUUCUCUUUUUUCUUUUUCAUCCUUCUCUUUUUUUUCAUUUUUUCUUUUCUCUCUCUCUUUUUUUCUUUUUGAAAAGACACCCAUUUGAGUUUUCACUCAAUGAACAAAUCUUGUCAACAACCUUUAUCAACUUAAAAAUAUGUUUUAAGAAAUAAUGGCAUCAGUGCAGCAAUCCUUUUCAUGCAAAAAUGGUAAAGGUGUAUUGACAUCAUUUGCCAUUUGAUUAAGUGAUUUUUAUUAGAAAUACCACUAAAGCGGAGGUCGGGAGUUUAUGAUUUUUAUGAUGGGGCCAGGUGGGGUGUGGAAGAAAUGUUAAGGCUUGAAAGCAAAUCUUCAAAGAAGCUUCAAAAAUCCUAGGACCGCGCUCUAUCAAUAUUUGCCCCAGCAUGAGGGUAUUGAAACUGAAAAAAUUGCCCCAGUUUGGCUUUUGAAUCUUUUUUUUUUCUUUUUUUUUUCAUGACAAAUAGGAGAUAAAAUUUUACCCCAGUAUGGGGUUUGCAAUCUUUAGGAGGGCUAUCAAAUGAAGGGUUAAAAUAUUCUGGAGGUUCAAUGGGGAAACUAGGGGUAAGAUGUUCAAAGAGAAAAAAAAAAAAAAAAAGGCUCGCCUUUGAUCCGCCAUAGAUGGUAUUUCAAAAAGAAAAAUCACAUAAUCAGAUAAAGAAUUUAUUACACAUGUCUGAAUUGAUUGGCAGAGGAAAGACCUGUCCAUCCAGUUCUGUAAGCAUGGGCGUUCAUCCGGAUAGCACUCUUUGAACAAUAAAUGCCCCUUGCCAAGUUGGAGCAAACUUUUCUUUAACCUCCUCUUGAAUCGGAAGAAUUUACUUCAAAACCUUAUCCCUCACUUCAAAUGAGCGAGAUUUGUCUUUCUUGUCAUAACUAACGAACCAUCCUUUGAUGAUAGCAUUGUUCAUGGCAGGUAAUAUUCAACCUCUUUUUCAUCCAUUGAAGACAUCAACUCAUUAUGCUCCUUGAUCCAUUUGAUUUCUUCUACCUGAGCCUUCGUCCAAAUGCGCAAGGGCGGGAUCUCGGUUUUGGCAUGUAUUACCACUUCCAUUUCGAAGCAUAAGAGGGUAAGAUGUUGCCCUAACUUAGAAAUGUAAUCUCCAAUGAAAUGCUCCCAGAGUUCAAUUGCAAAAUUUGCAAAAUCGAAGGAAAAACUCUCUUUUUCAUCUUUCACUCCCCUUUUUCUUUUCUCUUUUUUUUUCCUUUUUUUUUCUUUUUUUUUCUUUUCUCUUUUUUUUAUUCCCCUUUUUUCUUUUCUCUUCUUUUUUUCUUUUUCGAGUUGGCUGUCGAACCAAUAGCCAAUUCUCCACUUUGCAAUGUAGCAUUAUUGCCUCCUUUUUAUUCGUGAUUACCCUCCAAAUUUGUAAAAUUUUCACUUGCAUCUUUUUCUUGAACUUUACCAUAAACACCCGCACAGGGGGGAUUUUUCAAAGCACUUGAAUUUUUCAAAAUUCUUUUUCUCUUUUUUUUUUAGCAAUGAUAUAACAAUUAAGACUCAUGCAAAGUGUUGAAUUAUCAAAAAAAAAAAAAUUUUAAAAAUAUAUAUAUGUACUUGAUAUUGGACAUACCCUACAAAUGUGUUAUAAAAUUUUGCCUCAAUUUGAACUUAUUUCGUGAAAUCUCGCAAAUAUAUUACAAAAAAAUUGGCCCCAGAUUGGGCCUAUUAUAAAAUUUUAUUUGAGUGAUUCUUCAUUUAUUUGGGCAAAACUGAAAAUUGUGUGGUUUUUUUUUUCUUUCUUCCAAAAUUUAGAAAACUAAUAUGCAGUGUGAGUGGAUGUACAAAUGAAGAAUGCAUUUUUUCAUAAAAAAAACUUUAAAUGUCAUGUAGAAGACUCCAUGAUAAAUCUCUCAAAACAAGACCAAAUUGCAAAAGAUCUCUUCCUCAUUUCAGGAUUGGUGUUGAGGGAAAGGGUCCCCUUCUUGUUAGCUCAUCCUUUAGGAUCGAACAAAUGGGCAUUAUUCCUAAUUUGAGAUGGCUCAGGGAGAAAUGAUAGGUUAGGAUCUGUCUUGUUUUUGUACCCAGAUUGUAUCUAACACAUUCAAUAUCACAUUCUGGUGAAAGCAAAUAGUUUAUCACUCUUAUUUCUUAAGAAAACUCAGUCAACAUAUAAGCUCUAUAGGCUUGUAAUGUAUUGGUAGAAACAAUAGUUAAACAUAUGAAAACAAGUUAUGGCCUGAUGAUCACACGUGAUUGAUAGGUUCCUUAAAGGCAAAAUCUUCACUUCAAAUUGUCAUGAAAGAUAAGUCAGCAAUGGACUUUAUGAGCUUGUAAUAUGGCUUGACAACGAUAGCUAAAAGAAAUAAAAUUUUCAAGGACAAUGCACUUAAGAUCGCCUUCUUUCCCGAAAAUUGCCCCAGUUUUGGAUUUAAAAUCCAGGACACCAUUUUGACUCUCUCUCUCUCUCUUUUUUUUUUUUUUUUUAUCAAUCACUAGAGGGAAUUCAACAUUAGAUGUCUUUGCCCUUUUUUUUCAUCUUUUCGUUUCAUCAUCAUUUUUCACAUUUUUUUGUUUCUUUUUUUUUUUCAAUACUGAGAUCUCAAAUGCCAAUGAUAGAAUUGAAAACUCCCUCAUUUUGGAGUAUAAAUGGCCCCUCUUUCUUUUCGAUAUUGAAGACCAAAAUAUCAAUGGUAGAGUCAAAUUCCCCCAACUUGUAGCAUUUUUCUCUUGCAAAAAUUUUGAGCAUCUUUGCCAUUUUUUUUCUCAAAUCUCCUUCCCCAGUAUGGAGGUGUUAUCAUAAGUGCUUUUGAAACGAACCACCAAUUUAGGCUCAAAAGAGGAUGCAAGGAUAAACAGUGUUUAGAUAAUAGAAACGAUGGCCAAAGCAUUAUUCUUAUUUCUCAUGACAACCAAGGUAAAGAAUAAUCCAUUGAGAAAAUCCAUUUCCUUUUGACAUUCGAAAAUUUUUCCAUGACGGGUCAUGAUCAUUGAGGCUUUUAUUUGAAACGAAAUUCUAUUUUUUUUUUUAAGUUUCAAAUGGAAAAACAAAUGAUAAAAUCUGUAUAGAUAGAGAAAUGAAAGCCUAAAGUAUCAUUCCAAAUUUUCAAAACAAAUAUGAAGUAAUGUACAUUUUUGCUUUCACUCAGAUGUGGAUUGAAUCGGAUUAGACACACUGGACAUUUUCAUGGUAAAAAUUGUCUCACUUUGAAGCUAGUCAAUCAAUGCGACUGAUCUUAGAGGUUCAAUAAAAGUGGACAAAAAAUGAAAAAGAAAAGUAUCUGGGUUGAUCUUUUAUGAGAAACUAUCAAAUUUGUGUGACCCCUUUUAUUUCGACUACUCCCAUUGAAUAGUUUAGACCACAAAUCUAGUGUAUGCAAAGAAUUUUGGGGAUUGGACAUACAGUCAUGAAUUUUCGAACAAGAGGUCGAAAAUUUACAAUUUAGUCUUAUUUCUUAAAAUUUAUCAUGAAAUCUCCCAAUGAGCAAAUAAAGAAUGAAUAUAUACAAAACAAUAAUUGUCUAAAUAAAAACUUUAUUAUUCAAAUGUUUGAAAAUUUUUUUCUCAAAUAUAAUACAUGUGAGAAAAUAAAAAUCUUUAAAAAAUACACUUUCAAAUAUAUAUAUAUAUAUAUAUAUAUAUACACUUUCUCUUUCUAUCUUUUGAGACAAAAUGUAUUAGAAACAAUGAAUCAAAAGAUUUUUGAGAUGCUUUAGACUAGCAUUUUCAGAUGGAUUCAUCAUUUUUUUUAAUUUUUUUUGUAGGAUCUGCCCAAGAACCAAGUAACACUUGUAAUUUUCAAAGCUUAUAGACCAAAAAUAUUAUCAGAUAUAGAAAAAAUAUUUUUUUUACCUUAUUGAAACAACUUUUAUAAAUAUAGGGGAGGGGAAAAAUAAAAGAAAAAUACCCAGAGUUAGUAAGGAAAACUGUAAAAUCGAUAUGCAUGUCCUAUGGGGGAACCCUUUUAUGCCAAGGGUUGGCCUAGUAUGAAAAAUGCAAUCCUCCGGAGUAGGCACCAUACAAUACCUGAUGGAUCCGAUCGACCUAUUGAGUAAAAAAUAAUUUGAAAAAAUUUGGCCAAUUGGAGUGAGAAGAGACAUUUGUCUUAAAAAUGAGGACAAAAUCCGAAUGGAUUGCUUGCUUUGAUUGACACAUAAAGUGAUAUUAAAAAUCAAUUUAGUGUGAAAAACUUAUUUUUGAAAGGAUUGAAAUAUCUCGACUAGUUUCUUCGGUGAACCAUAAAUCGAAACUUUAAAAGAGAAUAAAGGGGUUAAAUGAAUUGAAUGAAAUUGAUAGUUAGUUCAAAAAUUGACUGGAUUAUCCUGAAAGUGAAUAAAACCGAUCCAAUAGAUUGGAUGAAAUUGAGAAUUUAUUCAAAAAAAAAUUGACUAAAUGAAUAAUGAAUUGGAUGGAAUUGAUGAUUUAUUCAAAAUUGAUUGUAUUGUCCUAAAAAUGAAUAAAUUGAUCAAAUGAAUUGGAUAGAAUGGACAGUUUAUUCAAAAAUCGACUGGAUCACUGACCAAAUGAAUAGAAUGAAAUUGAUGAUUUAUCCAAAAUGAAAUUGAAUGAAAAUGAAAUUAAAAAUGAGCAAAAUUGUAAGGAUUGAAUGAUCUAUAAAAAAAAUCGACUCAAUCAUCUUAGAUGUAAAAAUGGAAUGAAUGAAAUUGAUGAUUUAUCAAAAUCGAUGGAAUUGUCUGCCCAUUGGUAGUUUCAAAAAAUUCAUUGUGAUUCAUUAGUCUAUGAGCCUUCGGAAAUCAAGAUUUCGCCUUAACAUACUUAUCAUCUCAACAAUGAGGAAUUUGUGAAUUUCUUCAACUUAAUGUCCUUUACGCAAGGGAUUUUUACCAAUUCUGAUAAAAUGGUCAAAAAGUGAUUAUUAAAGGCUCAUAUUCUAAUGCGUAAAAACUAUUCCAUCAUUCUCAAUGGCGUCACACGGAAGGGAUCGAAUCCUACCUUACCUUGUGCACUACCCCUUUGGAUGGUACAAAAAAUAUAAACGUGCAAGUUUCAUUUGAUUAUAUAUCCGAGACAAAAGAUGGUUUAUUCCUAUAACGGGAUUCCCUAAAUGGCAUUCCCUCUAAGGUUUAUGCAUGAUACCAAUUUAUCAAAGCGACUAAAUAUGCAGUAUACAAAUGAAACAUGACCUAAAAGAACCCCUUUUUGUAUGCCGGGGUGAGCCUAAAAUGAAAUAUAAUCAUGCUGUAAAUGCAAAGCAUUGAAUUUAAACGUGUCAUAUCAAAUAGGGUAGGCUCCUAGAGAGUACCAUGCCAGGACUCUUAUUUUUCAGGGCUUAUGAAUACAAUGGAGACAAAAACCAAGAAAAGUUAGUUCAAUCAGACAAAUACACAUAACACAUUGUAGAAAAACAAUACAAAGAGAGGAAGCAAUAAAAGGAAAAGAGGGGUUAGAUCCCUCCCCUCGUGAAUAGUGUCCCUAAUAGGGUAAGGCAGACUCUACCUUAGAUAAACUAUCAUGAAUGCAUGAGGUAUCGGCCUACUAAUGCAUCUAAACUCAAUAGGUUUUAGGUCCCCGAGCCUUCAGACUUGAAAACCGAAGGUCAUCAAUCCCAAGGUUCUUUGUUGGUGGCUCGAACGAUUCCCCAGACAUUGCUACGUGCACGCCGUGCCACGGCCACAUGUCCAAGUGAAUCUAUCAAAAAUCCUCAAUUUUCGACUAAAAGCUAAAGGCUAUCAACCCAAAGCUUAAAAUGGAAGAUUGAGUGACCCCUCGGAUCAUGCUACGCACACGUCGUGUUGCGAUCACACGUCCAAGUGGGUCGCCUAAUCAUAACAGGGAAGAGUGGCGUGACAAGCCACUAAAAGAAAAAUAAAUGAGGGAUAAAAAAAUAAAACGUAUGCACGUAUGCCAGUGCUCGGUUUGGAGGGGAGGGAUCGAGAACCAAUGCGAGAUUCUAGGGUAAUAUUCCCGACCCCAAAUGCAAAGCGCGAUACAUAUAAGUAAAUAAAUAAGCCAUUCAUCACCUACAGGCAAGACGAGGAACAAUUACGAGUGUGAAAUGCAAAACAUCAUAAAAAGAAAAAUGCAACCCAACAUCCAAAUAUGAUAAAUAAAAGAGCUACAAAGAGAAAAUACAACUAAACCAAGUGCUUGGACUCUCUAGCGUCCCCAGUGGAGUCGCCAAGUUAUCGCGUCCCAUUUUUUCGCGAUGGAAAAAUAAAAGGUGUUUAUAAAAAGAUGUGAUUUAUUAAUAAUAAAUGAAAAAGAACCUAGAAUGGGACUUAAAAAGAAUGCGACAAUUCGGGUCCAAAAUUUAGUCUAAAAGGGUUUUCAAGAAAAGAUAGGAGUCGCCACUUGGUAUUGAGUUUUGGUGUACCAAGUCACCCAAAAAAAUAAAGUAAAAUAAAAUAAAACCCUUUUUGACAACUCCAGGUCUUUGAAAACAAGAGAAAAUGGAUUCGGGAGUCACGAUUGAAGAAAGGGAAGGCAAAGGUUCGAUUAACUCAAACCUAAGGCACCUUUUCAACCUAGUCUAAGUUAGUUGCGAGGUUUAGUCAAAAUUUUCCUAAUCUAACCCUUAAUUUUAUCAUAUUUGGAUGUUUCUUACAUGAAUGCAAAUCUAAAUUUAUAAAAUAUCGAAAGGGUCAAAAUAUCCAUUCAAGAAUUUAAUCGAACCAAUCGCAUUAAUUGCGAAAGCCAAAACGAUUCCUUGAAAGUGUCACGAGUAUGCGAAUGAUGAAAUUAAAAUAAAAAAAAUUAAAUUAUAUACAUAUAUAAG